GUUACAAGUGUCACGCGGGACCGCCGGUAUCAAGCCGGAGGAAGGUGGGGAUGACGUCAAGUCAGCAUGGCCUUUAUAUCCGGGGCUACACACACGCUACAAUGGCCGGUACAAUGGGUUGCUAAGCCGCGAGGCGGAGCCAAUCCCCCAAAGCCGGUCUCAGUUCAGAUUGCAGGCUGCAACUCGCCUGCAUGAAGCUGGAGUUGCUAGUAAACGCGCGUCAGCUAUAGUGCGUUGAAUACGUUCUCGGGCCUU
rnacentral:rRNA from 1 species